AUUGAACGCUGGCGGCAGGCUUAACACAUGCAAGUCGAGCGGAGAUGAGGUGCUUGCACCUUAUCUUAGCGGCGGACGGGUGAGUAAUGCUUAGGAAUCUGCCUAUUAGUGGGGGACAACAUUCCGAAAGGAAUGCUAAUACCGCAUACGCCCUACGGGGGAAAGCAGGGGACCUUCGGACCUUGCGCUAAUAGAUGAGCCUAAGUCGGCUUAGCUCGUUGGUGGGGUAAAGGCCUACCAAGGCGACGAUCUGUAGCGGGUCUGAGAGGAUGAUCCGCCACAAUGGGACUGAGACACGGCCCAGACUCCUACGGGAGGCAGCAGUGGGGAAUAUUGGACAAUGGGCGGAAGCCUGAUCCAGCCAUGCCGCGUGUGUGAAGAAGGCCUUUUGGUUGUAAAGCACUUUAAGCGAGGAGGAGGCUACCUGGAUUAAUACUCUAGGAUAGUGGACGUUACUCGCAGAAUAAGCACCGGCUAACUCUGUGCCAGCAGCCGCGGUAAAAC
rnacentral:rRNA from 1 species